rnacentral:misc_RNA from 1 species
GAUGAAGAACGUAGCAAAAUGCGAUAAGUAAUGUGAAUUGCAGAAUUCAGUGAAUCAUCGAAUCUUUGAACGCACAUUGCGCCCGCCAGUAUUCUGGCGGGCAUGUCUGUUCGAGCGUCAUUACAACCCUCAGGCCCCCGGGCCUGGCGUUGGGGAUCGGCGGAAAGCCCCCUGUGGGCAUACGCCGUCCCCUAAAUACAGUGGCGGUCCCGCCGCAGCUUCCAUUGCGUAGUAGCUAACACCUCGCAACUGGAGAGCGGCGCGGCCAAGCCGUAAAACACCCAACUUCUGAAUGUUGACCUCGAAUCAGGUAGGAAUACCCGCUGAACUUAAGCAUAUCAAUAAGCGGAGGA